UACAGAGGGUGCGAGCGUUAAUCGGAAUUACUGGGCGUAAAGGGCGCGUAGGCGGCCUGCUAAGUCGAACGUGAAAUCCCUGGGCUCAACCCAGGAACUGCGUCCGAUACUGGUUGGCUUGAAUCCGGGAGAGGGAUGUGGAAUUCCAGGUGUAGCGGUGAAAUGCGUAGAUAUCUGGAGGAACACCGGUGGCGAAGGCGACAUCCUGGACCGGUAUUGACGCUGAGGCGCGAAAGCCAGGGGAGCAAACGGG
rnacentral:rRNA from 1 species